AAAAAAAUACUAGGACAGGGGUGGGGCCUGACAGCCAAGUUGGCCAGACGUGUCCCUCUGUAGCUCUGGACACAUGGAGAUAAUAUUAAGCCUCUCAACUCACUAUUUUGGCUACAAGUGACCUUAAAGUACCGAGGUCUGAUAUUAAUAGCAGGUGCAAUUUAUUCUAUCCGGAACAUAUAGCAAAGCAGUGAAUCCGUUGGACCCUGAGGUCUGCUGGGUCUGCUUUGCCAGUGAAACAGAGAGGGAGCCGAACUCCCAACGCUGAGCGAGC